AUUGAACGCUGGCGGCAGGCUUAACACAUGCAAGUCGAGCGGGGGAAGGUAGCUUGCUACCGGACCUAGCGGCGGACGGGUGAGUAAUGCUUAGGAAUCUGCCUAUUAGUGGGGGACAACAUCUCGAAAGGGAUGCUAAUACCGCAUACGUCCUACGGGAGAAAGCAGGGGAUCUUCGGACCUUGCGCUAAUAGAUGAGCCUAAGUCGGAUUAGCUAGUUGGUGGGGUAAAGGCCUACCAAGGCGACGAUCUGUAGCGGGUCUGAGAGGAUGCUCCGCCACACUGGGACUGGGACACGGCCCAGGCUCCUACGGGAGGCAGCAGUGGGGAAUAUUGGACAAUGGGGGGAACCCUGAUCCAGCCAUGCCGCGUGUGUGAAGAAGGCCUUAUGGUUGUAAAGCACUUUAAGCGAGGAGGAGGCUACUCUAGUUAAUACCUAGGGAUAGUGGACGUUACUCGCAGAAUAAGCACCGGCUAACUCUGUGCCAGCAGCCGCCGUAA
rnacentral:rRNA from 1 species